rnacentral:rRNA from 1 species
CCUGAUGCAGCGACGCCGCGUGAGGGAUGACGGCCUUCGGGUUGUAAACCUCUUUCAGCAGGGACGAAGCGCAAGUGACGGUACCUGCAGAAGAAGCACCGGCUAACUACGUGCCAGCAGCCGCGGUAAUACGUAGGGUGCAAGCGUUGUCCGGAAUUACUGGGCGUAAAGAGUUCGUAGGCGGUUUGUCGCGUCGUUUGUGAAAACCAGCAGCUCAACUGCUGGCUUGCAGGCGAUACGGGCAGACUUGAGUACUGCAGGGGAGACUGGAAUUCCUGGUGUAGCGGUGAAAUGCGCAGAUAUCAGGAGGAACACCGGUGGCGAAGGCGGGUCUCUGGGCAGUAACUGACGCUGAGGAACGAAAGCC